CGUUAAGCCAAGGCUCUGUGGAAGCCACAUUGUAAAAGCAGAUUCUCCAGACCGUCUUUCACAAAAAGCAAAGCCGUUUCAGGAUUAAGACUUAUGGUUUCUGAUAGAUUUGCUUUUUUUUCCAUGCUACUGCAUGCACUGCUUUAAAUAAAGAAACCCCCACUGAGCUUGCUACUCCAGCGGGACUGGAUUGCACUUCCCAGGCAUGCAUGAAUUAUAAAGUCAGCUCCGUGUUCCUGCAGAAGGAGAAUUGCUGGCAAAAAUCAACCGAUGCACAUAGGCUCUCUCAAACCCCGGCUGCACACGGAUGGGCUUUCACCAGCCCACGGGCUCACAGGGUGCAAAAUGCUGACCUCUCGACCUGACGGGAACCGCUCCUGCUUGCAGCACUCAGAUGAGUGUCGCAACUCCUCCACGUCCCGGCCGCAGAGAUGGCCCCGCCGAUUGCCAAGCGGGUGACAGGAUGUGGUUUCUGCGUGCGCGGCGGCCGCGCCAUCGCUGAUGUUUAUGAGAUCAGUUUUAUUUCUCCAUUUAAAAAAUGUCAUUUUGGAAAUGGGAGUACGUCCCUGGAUUUGUAUCACCUGGCUUUUUCUGAACGACUCCUCUUGUCUCUUCUCCAAGAAAAAGACACAGUGGCUGAGGAUGGAGAAGCGCUCCCAGUCCCUGUGGGAGAGCUGGAGGGUGCCUGGUCUGGAUGCUUCUGAUGCCAAUGGGGAACUGAAACUACAGCCCUGGAGAGGAAACAAGAUCAUCGCUGCUGCUCCCUUCGCACUCCUGACUUUGUUUGCUUUGUGUGACUGGUUUCUGGCUGAAUAAAACAAAAUCUCCUGGCCCUCUGAGAUGAGGAAAAUCAUCCGGUGACAAAAGGAAGUUCUGAGGGGUUUGAGAUGUGUCCCUCUCCUGGGAAAGAGAAAGGAUGCCCC
rnacentral:lncRNA from 1 species